ACAGGUGCUGCAUGGCCGUCGUCAGCUCGUGUCGUGAGAUGUUGGGUUAAGUCCCGUAACGAGCGCAACCCUUGUCCUUAGUUGCCAGCACGUAAUGGUGGGAACUCUAGGGAGACUGCCGGUGACAAACCGGAGGAAGGUGGGGACGACGUCAGUUCUUUCAUGCUCCUUACGACUUGGGCUACACACGCGCUACAAUGGCUGGUACAGAGGGUCGCGAAGUCGCGAGGCGAAGCUAAUCCCUUAAAGCCAGUCGUAGUCCGGAUCGGAGUCUGCAACUCGACUCCGUGAAGUCGGAAUCGCUAGUAAUCGCGGAUCAGAAUGCCGCGGUGAAUACGUUCCCGGGCCUUGUACACACCGCCCGUCACACCAUGGGAGUGGAUUGCA
rnacentral:rRNA from 1 species